rnacentral:rRNA from 1 species
GACGAACGCUGGCGGCGUGCUUAACACAUGCAAGUCGAACGGAAAGGCCCUGCUUGCAGGGUGCUCGAGUGGCGAACGGGUGAGUAACACGUGGGUGAUCUGCCCCUUACUUUGGGAUAAGCCUGGGAAACUGGGUCUAAUACUGGAUAGGACCAUGCUGUAGGUGGUGUGGUGGAAAGAUUAGUUUCGGUAAGGGAUGAGUUCGCGGCCUAUCAGCUUGUUGGUGGGGUAAUGGCCUACCAAGGCGUCGACGGGUAGCCGGCCUGAGAGGGUGGACGGCCACAUUGGGACUGAGAUACGGCCCAGACUCCUACGGGAGGCAGCAGUGGGGAAUAUUGCACAAUGGGCGCAAGCCUGAUGCAGCGACGCCGCGUGGGGGAUGACGGCCUUCGGGUUGUAAACUCCUUUCAGCCAUGACGAAGCCCUUGUGGUGACGGUAGUGGUAGAAGAAGCACCGGCUAACUACGUG